rnacentral:tRNA from 1 species
UGCCCCAUGGUGUAACGGUAGCACUACAGAUUCUGGUUCUGUCAGUCAAGGUUCGAAUCCUUGUGGGGUAACCA